UAACGCGAAGAACCUUACCAAGGCUUGACAUACACGAGAACGGGCCAGAAAUGGUCAACUCUUUGGACACUCGUGAACAGGUGGUGCAUGGUUGUCGUCAGCUCGUGUUGUGAGAUGUUGGGUUAAGUCCCGCAACGAGCGCAACCCUCGUUUUAUGUUGCCAGCGCGUAAUGGCGGGAACUCAUAGGAGACUGCCGGGGUCAACUCGGAGGAAGGUGGGGAUGACGUCAAAUCAUCAUGCCCCUUAUGUCUUGGGCUUCACGCAUGCUACAAUGGCCGGUACAAAGGGCUGCAAUACCGUAAGGUGGAGCGAAUCCCAAAAAGCCGGUCUCAGUUCGGAUUGAGGUCUGCAACUCGACCUCAUGAAGUCGGAGUCGCUAGUAAUCGCAGAUCAGCA
rnacentral:rRNA from 1 species